rnacentral:rRNA from 1 species
UACGUAGGGUGCGAGCGUUGUCCGGAAUUACUGGGCGUAAAGAGCUCGUAGGUGGUUUGUCGCGUUGUUCGUGAAAACUCACAGCUCAACUGUGGGCGUGCGGGCGAUACGGGCAGACUAGAGUACUGCAGGGGAGACUGGAAUUCCUGGUGUAGCGGUGGAAUGCGCAGAUGUCAGGAGGAACACCGGUGGCGAAGGCGGGUCUCUGGGCAGUAACUGACGCUGAGGAGCGAAAGCGUGGGGAGCGAACAGG